rnacentral:rRNA from 1 species
UACGUAGGGUCCGAGCGUUGUCCGGAAUUAUUGGGCGUAAAGGCUCGUAGGCGGUCUGUUGCGUCGGGAGUGAAAACUUACAGCUUAACUGUGAGCGUGCUUUCGAUACGGGCAGACUUGAGGCAUUCAGGGGAGAACGGAAUUCCUGGUGUAGCGGUGAAAUGCGCAGAUAUCAGGAGGAACACCGGUGGCGAAGGCGGUUCUCUGGGAAUGUCCUGACGCUGAGG